AUAACAUCUAAUGCUCAUAGCAUUUAGCUGUCCAGCCCAUUCUGCAGGACAGAGGCUGACAGCUGUUGCACCUGGGUCAGAAAGGGACACACUGCGAAGAGCAGGAAUUCUUCCGUCAUGAUCCACAGUCUCUGUUGGGUUGCAGUAGUCACCGCGAUGCUCAUAAACUGAGAAAAAAUAUAUAUAUGUCUUUUUCACUUUAUUGGCAAAUAUUACAUAAGUAUAUAAAUUUCACUUUUUACAGCUAAAGGCUGCAUAGCCAUAACUUCUGAGCAAUUUAUUAAGGUUGAAUAAAAUUGAUAUAAGGAAUCAUUUUAUAAAAUAAAAUCUUGUGCAAAUGUGUAUGUUUUUAUUUUAUAAAGUGCAUAGCUAGUAAAUCUGCGUCUGCCCCACACAUCGCUUUCUCAUUCCUUGUUAUUCCGGCAUUCAAGCACACACACGCACCAACAUGCACGUGCACACAUGUGCCCAAACACAUACACAUAUUUAUGCAUGUUCACACAUACACGGACGAGUGCACAGCACACCAUGCCUCACUACCGGACAAUGAGGUUAGGUAGGUCGACCGCACAGGAGUUUCUGUACCAUCUUACGUGUCAGCCCAAAGACCUAGAGGCCACUGAAACAGAGCAAAGUGGCAUUGCUUUUAUUUCACGUGAGAGUCUGUUUUUCCAAAUACGAAGCCUGCCCCCCUUUGAUUGGAUUAUCGUGUUUAUCACUCAGCUUUGGCCACAUUUGGGCAGCCUGUCACCCUUUUUAAGUUGUAUUCUUGAUGUAGAUUUUGAAAAGAUGGAGUCUAUGAUGAUAGGUUUUAGUGAAUCAGCUGAAAAAAGUUUGAUAUAUCAUUAAAUAAGAACACAAUUCAGGAAACCUAACUUCAGAUACACCAAUUGCUGAGACCCAUGGAGAGUGGUUACUAUGCUGGCCUCAAAGUUGCAGGAUGAAGAUUGGUCAGGUUAAAAUGAAAGGAAACGUCUCAGGAGUUGGAGACAAACAGAAUGGUUAGAAAAACAAUUUUUGCAUUGUGUCGAGUGACCUGGCUGCCUGCUGGGUCACCGUGUACUUUUCACUCAGGUGAGUCGCAUCAAACCAUGGUGCCACUUAUGGAGCCAGACCCAGCC
rnacentral:lncRNA from 1 species